UCCAAGUCUCUAACAAUUAGGCCACAAACUUGUGCGAACUUCUAUGUCAAAAUCAAAUUCUCCAGUCAAAAACCCUUACAUGAUCUAUCAAUAUCAAACUUUGGCCUCAGAUGACAAAACCUACAGUACAAAUACACACACUGCAAUAGUUUAGCUUCCUUAAAUAUAAUAAGUUAUCUUUACUUAGUUGUUAUACUUACUAGGUUUUAUUAAGUUACAAAAUUUGCUAAUUUUAAGGCAAAUAAAACAACAUGCUGCAAUGAGUAAUUCUUUCUUAAAAUAUUCAAGUAGCUACAACAAAACCGAUGACAUUAAUUCACCAGUGAGAGGCAGCAGUGCGCUAAUGUGCAACAGGAACAAAACAACAGAAGAAGAAAUAAGGACGGUGAGCAUGCGCAGCAAGCAAAGUUUUGAAGCUGCAUCGAAUUUGCUGAAAUUAAGAAGUAGAAAGACUGUUUACAUUUCACCUCUGGACAAAGAAUGAUUGAUUACUUCUACACAAUAAUAAUAAGGAAAAAAGCUUGUGUCAGCUGUCUUCUCUGAGCAGCGGUCUUGUGAUCACCGACCUCAGUAUAAUAAAGAUUUGACAGAACUUCACACACAUCUGAGGCCUACCUGUUUUAAUUCAUGAUCACCCCGGAUACUUCUACAACUAACCUGCUUGGUGUCUGAUGCUGAUGCAAUCUGGGCACUAGUAUCUGUUGGCUUGCUGACUAUCACUGACGAUGAAGUACUUCUCCAAAUCUUGACCCAGUGUCUUCUGCCAUCAUUGUUCAGGGUAGUACUGCAAAGAACAGUCUCCAGGGUCUGCCCCCAACAUUUGCUUCCCGACCACCAUGUGCUACGUUUGCAUCACUACAUGUGGGUUACCCUGAUACUGUGAAGAAAACCUACAAUAUGAUGCUUGACUUGGGACAGAAAAAAAAACAUUGGCAACUUGUGUGGCCAACUCAUUGCUGUA